CCCUUAGAUGUUCUGGGCAGCACGCGCGCUACACUGAUGCGCUCAACGAGUUUAUGACCUUGCCCGGAAGGGUUGGGUAAUCUUUUCAAAACGCAUCGUGAUGGGGAUAGAUUAUUGCAAUUAUUAAUCUUCAACGAGGAAUUCCCAGUAAGCGCGAGUCAUCAGCUCGCGUUGAUUACGUCCCUGCCCUUUGUACACACCGCCCGUCGCUACUACCGAUUGGAUGGUUUAGUGAGACCCUCGGAUCGGUCCCGACUCGGGGUGGGCUUCUGCCCCGGUCGUGGUUUCGCCGAGAAGACGGUCAAACUUGACUAUCUAGAGGAAGUAAAAGUCGUAACA
rnacentral:rRNA from 1 species